CUUGAACGCUGGCGGCAGGCCUAACACAUGCACGUCGAACGAGUGGCGGACGGGUGCGUAAUGUCUGGGAAACUGCCCGAUGGAGGGGGAUAACGACUGGAAACGGUAGCUAAUACCGCAUACCAUCGGAUGUGCCCAGAUGGGAUUAGCUAGUAGGUGGGGUAACGGCUCACAUAGGCGACGAUCCCUAGCUGGUCUGAGAGGAUGACCAGCCACACGGGAACUGGGACACGGUCCAGACUACUACGUGAGGCAGACGUGGGGAAUAUUGCACAAUGGGCGCAAGCCUGAUGCAGCCAUGCCGCGUGUAUGAAGAAGGCCUUCGGGUUGUAAAGUACUUUCAGCGAGGAGGCGUUACUCGCAGAAGAAGCACCGGCUAACUCCGUGCCAGCAGCCGCGGUAAUAC
rnacentral:rRNA from 1 species